rnacentral:rRNA from 1 species
CUCUUCUAGUAUGAUAUUAGAAGUAGGCCCUGCCCGGUGCCUUGCGAGGUAAACGGCGGUGUUAAACCUUAAAGUAGCGUGAUAAGUCGGCCUUUAAUUGGGGUCUGGUAUGAAAGGGUUGACGUCGGAAAAACUGUCUCGGAAGAACUAAGUGAAAUUUACUUUUAAGUGAAAAGGCUUAAAUUAAGGUAAAAGACGAGAAGACCCUGUCGAGCUUGAGGGAUUUAAAUGUUUAUCAAACGUGAUUAGGAGUUUGGCUGGGGCAGCAAUGGAGGUAGCCUCCGUUUUUAGCGCAAAGAUCCAUUUUACCUAGGAUAAUGAAAAAGAAAAAAGCUACCGCAGGGAUAACAGCACAAGACCGCCUCAGAGGUCGUAUCGAAGGCGGUAAGUGUGACCUCGAUGUUGGAUUAGGGUAAACCUCUUUGUGCAGGAGCAAAGCGGGUAGGACUGUUCUUCCUUUAAUCCCCU